UACGGGGGGUGCGAGCGUUGUCCGGAAUCACUGGGCGUAAAGGGCGCGUAGGUGGCCUGAUAAGGGUGUGGUGAAAGUCCGGGGCUUAACCCCGGAUCUGCCAUGCCGACUGUUAGGCUAGAGUGCUGUAGGGGCAGGCGGAAUUCCGGGUGUAGCGGUGGAAUGCGUAGAGAUCCGGAGGAAGACCGGUGGCGAAGGCGGCCUGCUGGGCAGAUACUGACACUGAGGCGCGACAGCGUGGGGAGCAAACAGG
rnacentral:rRNA from 1 species